rnacentral:rRNA from 1 species
GACGAACCGUGCGAACGUUGUUCGGAAUCACUGGGCUUAAAGGGCGCGUAGGCGGCUCGCGAGGUCGGGGGUGAAAUCCCGCAGCUUAACUGCGGAAGGGCCUCCGAUACCGGCGGGCUGGAGGAAGGUAGGGGUGCGCGGAACUUCUGGUGGAGCGGUGAAAUGCGUUGAUAUCAGAAGGAACGCCGGCGGCGAAAGCGGCGCACUGGACCUUUUCUGACGCUGAGGCGCGAAAGCUAGGGGAGCAAACAGG